GUGCCAGCCGCCGCGGUAAUACGAAGGGUGCAAGCGUUACUCGGAAUUACUGGGCGUAAAGCGUGCGUAGGUGGUUCGUUAAGUCUGUCGUGAAAGCCCCGGGCUCAACCUGGGAAUGGCGAUGGAAACUGGCGAGCUAGAGUGCGGUAGAGGGCGGUGGAAUUCCCGGUGUAGCAGUGAAAUGCGUAGAGAUCGGGAGGAACAGCAGUGGCGAAGGCGGCCGCCUGGACCAGCACUGACACUGAGGCACGAAAGCGUGGGGAGCAAACAGGAUUAGAUACCCCGGUAGUCC
rnacentral:rRNA from 1 species